rnacentral:rRNA from 1 species
UACGUAGGGUGCGAGCGUUGUCCGGAAUUAUUGGGCGUAAAGAGCUCGUAGGCGGUUUGUCGCGUCUGUCGUGAAAGCUUGGGGCUUAACCCCCAAGUCUGCGAGUGGAUACGGGCAGACUAGAGGGCAGGUAGGGGAGAACGGAAUUCCCGUGGUAGCGGUGAAAUGCGCAGAUAUCGGGAGGAACACCGGUGGCGAAGGCGGUUCUCUGGGCCUGUACUGACGCUGAGGAGCGAAAGCGUGGGGAGCGAACAGG